rnacentral:rRNA from 1 species
AAUUCUUGUACCUUUUGUAUGAUGGUUCAGUAAGGUUUGGUUAAUGGGAUUUUAGUUCCCGAAGAUAAACGAGUUAGUGUAUUCUGUUUUAAGAGAAAAGUUUUUACUGUUGCAGUAGUAAGAUUUGAGGAUACAUUAGGUGUGAAAUGCUUAUCGUGUUUAUGGAUAGCUGGUUCUUCCAGAAAUUGGUGUGAGCUAAGUGUAUAUUUUUAUUAAAGUGGUAAUGCUUUAUUGAGUAAAGAUAAUAUUUUAAUAAUAGUAUUGCAGUAAGACUUAAAGGGAUAAGCCUUUUUGUCGAUUAGGAAAAAGCUUUGUCUAUUAAUUAAGAAUGGUUUGGUGUUGUGUGUUGGUUAAUUGAAAAAAAGUAGGAUUAAUGGCAUCUAUCUUUGAAGAUAGCGUUAAAGCUUAUUUGUAAGGACCAAUACAGGAAAUUGUGAAAUAAGGAAAUUUUAGAUUGUAGAUAUUUAUGGGAGAAUUUCGUGAAAGCGAAUGUUAUAAUGCUGGAAUUAGUAGAGUAAAGUAUUGUUUGUGUAUUAAUCAAUCCUAACUGUUUGGAUGGAGCAAUAGUAUGUUUAUCGAGAAGUCACUUUAAGGGGUUGUCUGCUAACGCAAGCGGUAUUGAAUUAUAAAUGUAAGGGAAAGGAAUUCGGCAAAUAUUGAUUUCGCCUGUUUACCAAAAACAUCGCCUUUUGUAAAGAUUCUGAUAUAUAAAAGGUCCUGCCUGCCCGGUGACUUAGUUAAACGGCCGCGGUACUUUGACCGUGCAAAGGUAGCAUAAUCAUUUGCCUUUUAAAUGGGGGCUGGUAUGAAUGGCAAGACGUAAAUCAAACUGUCUCUCUCUUAUGAUAUCUUGAAGUUAAUGUCCUUGUGAAGAAGCAGGGAUUAAGUCGUAGGACGAGAAGACCCUGUCGAGCUUUAGUUGAGAAUAUAAUAUAGGUUGAUAGUAAUAUUUUUGUGCUAAUAAAGUUAUUUUAUUAAUUUGAAAGAUACUGUUAAAAAUAAUAUUGAAGUUAUAUAUUUUAUACUUAGGUUGGGGCAACCGCGGAGAAUAAGAAUCCUCCGCUAAGUUUAUUGUUAAAUAAUUGUAUUUUUAAUGUAGCUACGUUAUUUAAAAGUGAUCCACUUUAAGGUGAUCAAAAGAAUAAGUUACCGCAGGGAUAACAGCGUAAUUUUUUUGGAGAGUUCAUAUUGAUAAAAAAGUUUGCGACCUCGAUGUUGGAUCGGGAUUUCCUAGAAAUGC